ensembl:scaRNA
UGACUCUGUUUCCUGGGAGGUAGACUCAGCCCCUCUACCUCCCCUCAGCUGAGCCUAGAGAAGAGGGGCUAACUGUCCUGUAUGGGAGAGGCAUUUAAGAAAGGAGCCUUGCCUGGGCGGUCACAGCCUUACAUUU